rnacentral:rRNA from 1 species
CAGCCGCCGCGGUAAUGCGAAGGGGGCUAGCGUUGCUCGGAAUGACUGGGCGUAAAGGGCGCGUAGGCGGUGGCCAAAGUCAGGCGUGAAAUUCCUGGGCUCAACCUGGGGGCUGCGCUUGAUACUUGGUUGCUUGAGUGGGGAAGAGGGUCGUGGAAUUCCCAGUGUAGAGGUGAAAUUCGUAGAUAUUGGGAAGAACACCGGUGGCGAAGGCGGCGACCUGGUCCUUGACUGACGCUGAGGCGCGAAAGCGUGGGGAGCAAACAGGAUUAGAUACCCCUGUAGUCCCUGUCUCUUAUAC